ensembl:lincRNA 1700025M24Rik RIKEN cDNA 1700025M24 gene
UGAGAUGUUCUCCAAGCCUUAGGCAUUAUCCACUGGGGCUGGGUACCCCACAGAGUGAAAAAUAAAAGCAAAAAACAAUCCUGGAGGAAGACAAGCUGUGCUCUGUAUCUAAAAAGAACUGUGGAUAACAGCCCAAGAUGGUAUUUUGAAGUGAGUAGACACCUGGAGAAUACAGUCUUCCUGCUACCGGGAUGAUGGAUAAACAUCUUCAAUCAAGACAUCCUGAGGAUCCUAUGGGUUUAGAUGAAGCUGGCAUCUAUGUUCUUCUCUAGGAGACUCUCUGGUUGUGUUUGUUUGGAAGGCGACCGUGGUAAGCAUGGAGCUAGAUGUCAACUGACGAGACGCUUCUGAGAGGGACUCAAAACUGCCGACCUUGGGAAUUUGCUUGAGAGGAGAGAAAUUCUUGGCCACAGAGAGAGUGCUGAGAAGACAGGGGAGUGAAAAGAAUGUGUCAACAGAGUGAGCCAAGCCUGGGGGACAUGGCAGAGCACCACAAGAAACCAUUGCUCGGCAAAGGACUCCUCAGAUGAGAGCAUACAAAAUAUGAUCAUCCCUCAUCACCAGGGGUAGCCCUAGGAUCCUUGCCCAGGGUACCACAAUCUUAGAGUGCUCAAGUCCCUUAUAUAAACAGCAAAAUGAAUUAGG